rnacentral:rRNA from 1 species
UGGCCAGACUCCUACGGGAGGCAGCAGUGGGGGAUAUUGCACAAUGGGGGAAACCCUGAUGCAGCGACGCCGCGUGGGUGAAGAAGUAUUUCGGUAUGUAAAGCCCUAUCAGCAGGGAAGAAAGAAGACGGUACCUGACUAAGAAGCCCCGGCUAACUACGUGCCAGCAGCCGCGGUAAUACGUAGGGGGCGAGCGUUAUCCGGAUUCACUGGGUGUAAAGGGAGCGUAGACGGCCGUGCAAGCCAGGAGUGAAAGCCCGGGGCCCAACCCCGGGAGUGCAUUUGAAACUGCCAUGCUGGAGUGCCGGAGAGGUAAGCGGAAUUCCUAGUGUAGCGGUGAAAUGCGUAGAUAUUAGGAGGAACACCAGUGGCGGAGGCGGCUUACUGGACGGUAACUGACGCUGAGGCUCGAAAGCGUGGGGAGCAAACAGGAUUAGAUACCCCCGUAA